AAGUCGUAACAAGGUAACCGUAGGUGAACCUGCGGUUGGAUCAUUAUAAAACUUUGGAUUCGUUUGGAAAGAACACUUGGAUCUCUGUGACCAGUUUUCAAGUACGAAUGAAACUCCCUUUCGAAAAGGGGGUACCCACAUUGUGUGAACCUGUACAUUUCCCUCUCCCGGGGAUGUCUUGUGCUCAACUUUUGUGUUUUGGGGAAUGCUUCUGAGAGUUCGACUGGGGCAGAUGUUCCGGUCUUUUUUGAACACAAUCAUUCAAAAACAACUUUUGGCAACGGAUCUCUUGGCUCUC
rnacentral:misc_RNA from 1 species